AGUGAACGCUGGCGGUAGGCCUAACACAUGCAAGUCGAACGGCAGCACAGUAAGAGCUUGCUCUUACGGGUGGCGAGUGGCGGACGGGUGAGGAAUACAUCGGAAUCUACUUUUUCGUGGGGGAUAACGUAGGGAAACUUACGCUAAUACCGCAUACGACCUACGGGUGAAAGCAGGGGAUCUUCGGACCUCGCGCGAUUGAAUGAGCCGAUGUCGGAUUAGCUAGUUGGCGGGGUAAAGGCCCACCAAGGCGACGAUCCAUAGCUGGUCUGAGAGGAUGAUCAGCCACACUGGAACUGAGACACGGUCCAGACUCCUACGGGAGGCAGCAGUGGGGAAUAUUGGACAAUGGGCGCAAGCCUGAUCCAGCCAUACCGCGUGGGUGAAGAAGGCCUUCGGGUUGUAAAGCCCUUUUGUUGGGAAAGAAAAGCAGCAGGUUAAUACCCCGCUGUUCUGACGGUACCCAAAGAAUAAGCACCGGCUAACUUCGUG
rnacentral:rRNA from 1 species